AGUGGUGCAUGGUUGUCGUCAGCUCGUGUCGUGAGAUGUGGUUAAGUCCGCAACGAGCGCAACCCCUAUUGUUAGUUGCCAUCAUUCAGUUGGGCACUCUAGCGAGACUGCCGGUAAUAAACCGGAGGAAGGUGGGGAUGACGUCAAAUCAUCAUGCCCCUUAUGACCUGGGCUACACACGUGCUACAAUGGUUGGUACAACGAGUUGCGAGUCGGUGACGGCGAGCUAAUCUCUUAAAGCCAAUCUCAGUUCGGAUUGUAGGCUGCAACUCGCCUACAUGAAGUCGGAAUCGCUAGUAAUCGCGGAUCAGCACGCCGCGGUGAAUACGUUCCCGGGCCUU
rnacentral:rRNA from 1 species